rnacentral:rRNA from 1 species
GAUGGUAGUGUGGGUAUUACCCAUGUGAGAGUAGGGAGCCGCCAGAC